rnacentral:rRNA from 1 species
CCUACGGGAGGCAGCAGUGAGGAAUAUUGGUCAAUGGGCGGAAGCCUGAACCAGCCAAGUAGCGUGCAGGAUGACGGCCCUACGGGUUGUAAACUGCUUUUAUACGGGAAUAACGCGCCUUACGUGUAGGGCUUUGCAUGUACCGUAUGAAUAAGGACCGGCUAAUUCCGUGCCAGCAGCCGCGGUAAUACGGAAGGUCCGGGCGUUAUCCGGAUUUAUUGGGUUUAAAGGGUGCGUAGGCUGUGAGGUAAGUCAGCGGUGAAAUGCCCCCGCUCAACGGGGUGAAGUGCCAUUGAUACUGCCUUGCUGGAAUGCGGAUGCCGUGGGAGGAAUGUGUGGUGUAGCGGUGAAAUGCAUAGAUAUCACACAGAACACCGAUUGCGAAGGCAUCUCACGAAUCCGCGAUUGACGCUGAUGCACGAAAGCGUGGGUAUCAAACAGGAUUAGAUACCCCAGUAGUC